GCCGCGGGGGCAGAUGGCGUGACUGCCGACUCACUGCUUGUGGGUCGGACAUCCACCGGAGGCCGUUGUGACGCUGCCCCCUGACGUGCCACAUCGGCAAAUGUUUUCUUGGGCAGGAUGGGCACGACCGCGAGUACGCGGCGUGCUCCCCAUCACAGUUUACACAGUGGAGAGCAUUCCCACAAGCUUCAGAGGUGUGUUCGUGGGCACUGCACUUCGCACAUGUUUGGCGGCCUCGGCAGCUCUGCGAACUGUGGCCGAAGCUCUGGCAUUUGAAACAUCGGAGUGGAUUGGGCACGCAUGGCCUGACACGGAGCUUGAUGUACCCGGCCUCGAUUGACUCGGGCAGGACACUUGAACCAAACGUGAUUAUUAGAGACCCCGAAGCUGAGAGAUCCUUGAAGACACGCCUCCCAAGGAGAAGAUGAAAGAGCAAUUGUUCAAGAAGGAUUUAACCUGUUUCGCAAGAAGCAAAAUAAAACUGCGCGCUGCAGAAGUUAGUGACGACACAAACACAGCUUGAAGGACGUAUAACAGUGUCGUCGCAGUGUAUCCUUUCACUUUUCAAAUGCCUGA